rnacentral:rRNA from 1 species
AUUGAACGCUGGCGGCAUGCUUUACACAUGCAAGUCGGACGGCAGCACAGAGAAGCUUGCUUCUUGGGUGGCGAGUGGUGAACGGGUGAGUAAUAUAUCGGAACGUACCGAGUAAUGGGGGAUAACUAAUCGAAAGAUUAGCUAAUACCGCAUAUUCUCUGAGGAGGAAAGCAGGGGACCUUCGGGCCUUGCGUUAUUCGAGCGGCCGAUAUCUGAUUAGCUAGUUGGUGGGGUAAAGGCCUACCAAGGCGACGAUCAGUAGCGGGUCUGAGAGGAUGAUCCGCCACACUGGGACUGAGACACGGCCCAGACUCCUACGGGAGGCAGCAGUGGGGAAUUUUGGACAAUGGGCGCAAGCCUGAUCCAGCCAUGCCGCGUGUCUGAAGAAGGCCUUCGGGUUGUAAAGGACUUUUGUCAGGGAAGAAAAGGCUGUUGCUAAUAUCAAUAGCUGAUGACGGUACCUGAAGAAUAAGCACCGGCUAACUACGUG